rnacentral:tRNA from 1 species
AACCUAUUAGCUCAAAUGGCAGAGCACUAUGAAAAUGCAUAGGAGAUGUAGGUUCGAUUCCUACAUAGGUUG